UCCGUGCAUACCUUCCAUCCAGGGGAAAGGGGUCCAAAUAGUGUUGUUUGUUUUGGAGGGACGGGCGCCAAUAAUUUCAGGUGGCCUUGAGUCCGUGGCUGUAUCCCUUCACUGGCGCAGAUCAGCCAAAUCCUCAAUUCUUUUUGGAAGCGAGAAUUCCAACUUCUCCAUGUUGUUGUCGAUCGUACGGAGAUGCUCCAGAACCGCAAUUGCGGUUGAGCUCAGUCACCGCUUGAGUCUGAGUGUUGGACAUUCGCGCUAGACCAUCGAAAAUGACCGGCGGCUUCUUCACUUCCAAUAAAGCUGCUCCCGUUGGUUGGAUUUUGCGAUAGAACAGGAAAAUGCUAACACCAAACUGCAGCAUACCUGCUAUCAGAAGGCCGAUAAUGUAGAUGUCUUCCUCCUCCUCAACGGACAGGUGUACCCGGCAGCAAAUGUCCCGAGGGGCAAGCAGGCUCUCCACUGCCUGCUCU